AAAAAGGCAAAUCCUGAGUUUCCGUGUACAACUUUGACUGUCCGUCUUAUAUGAAUUUUUUUUAUAAUUCUUAUUUUCAUUGUUGUUAGAUGAUAAAACAUGAUUAAUAUUUUAUGUGUGACUUGUCUUUUUAAUUUUUUUCAUAAUUUUUUCAAAUAAGACGAACGGUCAAACGUUGGGCACGGAAACGAGGGUUUGUUCUUUUU
rfam:Oryza glaberrima chromosome 5 Oglab05_0001_7, whole genome shotgun sequence.